UGCACAGUGGAAAAGUUGGUAAAUUCGCUCGUUCCAUUUGGUUCUGGAGACGUAGGUUCAAAUCCUACCUGUGCAA
rnacentral:tRNA from 1 species